UGGGGAAUAUUGCACAAUGGGCGCAAGCCUGAUGCAGCCAUGCCGCGUGUGUGAAGAAGGCCUUCGGGUUGUAAAGCACUUUCAGCGAGGAGGAAGGGUAGUGUGUUAAUAGCACAUUGCAUUGACGUUACUCGCAGAAGAAGCACCGGCUAACUCCGUGCCAGCAGCCGCGGUAAUACGGAGGGUGCAAGCGUUAAUCGGAAUUACCGGGCGUAAAGCGCACGCAGGCGGUUUGUUAAGUCAGAUGUGAAAUCCCCGCGCUUAACGUGGGAACUGCAUUUGAAACUGGCAAGCUAGAGUCUUGUAGAGGGGGGUAGAAUUCCAGGUGUAGCGGUGAAAUGCGUAGAGAUCUGGAGGAAUACCGGUGGCGAAGGCGGCCCCCUGGACAAAGACUGACGCUCAGGUGCGAAAGCGUGGGGAGCAAAACAGGAUUAGAUACCCUGGUAGUCCACGCUGUAAACGAUGUCGACUUGGAGGUUGUGCCCUUGAGGCGUGGCUUCCGGAGCUAACGCGUUAAGUCGACCGCCUGGGGAGUACGGCCGCAAGGUUAAAAC
rnacentral:rRNA from 1 species